GUUUUGCUGCGACGUUGGUGACUGCCAAAAUUGUUUUUUGAUCUACACUUGACCUUAUCAGGGAACCAACAGAUCUCGUGGCAGUAAACCGGGCUUGUACCCGGAAACUUAAAGCGAGAACGUCGGUGCCCACCUGGAUUUUGAGGUCAAAAACUGAGGUAAGACGGCGUCGCGGUGAAACC
rnacentral:other from 24 species